AUACGUAGGGGGCGAGCGUUGUCCGGAAUGAUUGGGCGUAAAGGGCGCGUAGGCGGCCCGGUAAGUCUGGAGUGAAAGUCCUGUUUUUAAGAUGGGAAUUGCUUUGGAUACUGUCGGGCUUGAGUGCAGGAGAGGUAAGUGGAAUUCCCAGUGUAGCGGUGAAAUGCGUAGAGAUUGGGAGGAACACCAGUGGCGAAGGCGACUUACUGGACUGUAACUGACGGUGAGGCGCGAAAGUGUGGGGAGCAAACAGGAUUAGAUACCCUGGUAGUCCACACUGUAAACGAUGAAUGCUAGGUGUAGGGGGUAUCGACCCCUUCUGUGCCGCAGUCAACACAAUAAGCAUUCCGCCUGGGGAGUACGUCCGCAAGGUUGAAACUCAAAUGAAUUGACGGGG
rnacentral:rRNA from 1 species